rnacentral:rRNA from 1 species
GACGAACGCUGGCGGCGUGCUUAACACAUGCAAGUCGAGCGGUAAGGCCCUUUCGGGGGUACACGAGCGGCGAACGGGUGAGUAACGCGUGGGUGACCUGCCCUCAGCUCUGGGAUAAGCCUGGGAAACCGGGUCUAAUACUGGAUAUGACUCCAUGACGCAUGUUGUGGGGUGGAAAGCCUUGUGCGGCUGAGGAUGGGGCCCGCGGCCUAUCAGCUUGUUGGUGGGGUNAGGGCCUACCAAGGCGACGACGGGUAGCCGGCCUGAGAGGGCGACCGGCCACACUGGGACUGAGCACGGCCCAGACUCCUACGGGAGGCAGCAGUGGGGAAUCUUGCGCAAUGGGCAAAGCCUGACGCAGCGACGCCGCGUGAGGNUGACGG